rnacentral:rRNA from 1 species
AGUGAACGCUGGCGGUAGGCCUAACACAUGCAAGUCGAACGGCAGCACAGUAAGAGCUUGCUCUUACGGGUGGCGAGUGGCGGACGGGUGAGGAAUACAUCGGAAUCUACUUUUUCGUGGGGGAUAACGUAGGGAAACUUACGCUAAUACCGCAUACGACCUACGGGUGAAAGCAGGGGAUCUUCGGACCUUGCGCGAUUGAAUGAGCCGAUGUCGGAUUAGCUAGUUGGCGGGGUAAAGGCCCACCAAGGCGACGAUCCGUAGCUGGUCUGAGAGGAUGAUCAGCCACACUGGAACUGAGACACGGUCCAGACUCCUACGGGAGGCAGCAGUGGGGAAUAUUAGACAGUGGGCGCAAGCCUGAUCCAGCCAUACCGCGUGAGUGAAGAAGGCCUUCGGGUUGUAAAGCCCUUUUGUUGGGAAAGAAAAGCAGCAGGUUAAGACCCCGCUGUUCUGACGGUACCCAAAGAAUAAGCACCGGCUAACUUCGUG